GCAAUUAUCACGAUGGCUGUUCCACGAUAACAUCGUAAAUCACAUUGUGAUUUCCCCAGAUUUGGGUGUUGACGUCAAUACAUCAACUGCGACCUAUGUAUAUACUCCAGGAAGCACAUCAUACGAAGUGGAUACAUCAACUCUAAAGAAGCAGACCCUCAGUGUUACUCUACGUUUUAACUACAAUUACGCUUACCUUACAUGAUGGACAUUUCCAUGCAUCGUGAUGGUUUGGAGGAUUGCUGGCACAUUUAGCGUGAAACACGCGAGGGCAAAAAUCACACAAGAUCACUUCACCGGGUUCUUGACAAUCAAAACAAUACCAAUCGUGCGUUUUGGCUUUCUACAGGAGAAAAAAAUAAAUGACAUUUAUUUUAGUGUGGUGGUCCUUGUGACAUAAGCAUAAACAUAAACAUAAACAUCAGUGUCCUCACUUGCUAUAAACUGCUGUAAGAACAAGAAUAAGCAAAAACGCGGAUAAUAAGAAUGGAGAGUUUGGAUAUCAUUAUUCUUAUGCACGGCAACAAGCUAUUAAAGGGACAACUAACAUUGAAGUUUCUUCCAUCAUAGCUUCAUGUA